CUCUCCGCAGCCCUUUUUUGCCUCACGCUCUUCACACACCCCAGGCCCAAAGCGUCUCCCUCCCGCCGCCCCCUCGUAGUCGUCGUCGUCGUCCUCCUCCUCUCGCAAUGCCACAGAGCUCAAGCGACGAGGCCCCACCGGAGGCAGAAGGGCGAGCAAAUGAGUUGAGGCCCGCCUCCCGCGCUCCGUCCCUCCGCUGGUGGAUUCUUACCGGCGGCCCAAGGCUGGGAAGAGUAGGGCGGCGGCGGCGGCGGCGCGGUGACGACGAUGGGAGAUAAAGUGGCGGGGAGAAAGAGGUGAUGGGGGCUCAGAGCCCCCAGGCCGCGACUCUGGCUCCUGCCCCGGGCACCAUGAUGGCGGCGGCAGCAACAGCAGCGAUGGCUCCUUCCUGCAAGCUGCUGCUGGUACUGCGGCGGCGGCGGCGGGCGGGUGGCAGGCCGGUCGGUCGGGGAAGCGCAGCCUCAGCCUCCUCCUGGCGGUGACAGCGGCGGGCCGAGCCAGAGAGCGCCGCCGCGGUGCAGCUUGGGAAAUCGCCGGCAGGAUCCGAACCCGCCACCAGAACCAGAACUGCUUCUCUCUCUUCCUCCCCUGAGGGAAACGUUGGUGAAGAAACAGGAGGAAUAACAGCGAGGCAAAAGAGCAGGAGACGAAAGGGGAGAUUUCGGAGAGAAGCAGGGCCCCUGGGCGAGACAGGGGCGAUAAGAGUUAAGGUCUCAGCUCCAGAACCUAUUUGUGAGCGCUGGGGACUUUGACGUAAGAUGUUACGGAGUGCGUCUGAGCAUGUCAAGAGCGUGUUUCCCCCUUAUCUAUCACUGAGUAAACAACAGCAGCAACCAUCAAGAACUGCCCUAGAUGGAAGGAUGCGGUAUCUAGGCAGGCUUGACUCCUGAUUAGAAAUUCAGCACUGGAGAUCAAAGAUGGGGGGCGGACAGCUGAAGAGAAUGACAAGGGAACAGUUACCUAAGGAGUUCACAUGAGAGGGAAAGAAGGUACACUGAACAGAUGCAUUUACAAGAACAAAGUAGGAAGUCUCAGGGCAGCCUUUUAUUUGUCCACCGUACUUCUGAGGAAAGCGUACUGGAGACAAAGAGAAAAGACACAUGAAUACGAUUUGAAGUAAGACAAUAUGGCUUCCUCUGUAGUAACAACUUCAUCUAAAAUGCAGAAAACCUUUGAUGUGAACUUAUAUGCCUUGGGCCAGAAGUCACAGAAAACAAAUAAUACAAGUGUUACAAAAAUUAUACAGGUUGCUGAAAGAAAAUCAACACACUACAAAGAUAUUUGCAAAUUUAACAGAAAUUGCUAUGCAUCAUACAUCAGUGAGCACAACCUCAAGUGGUGGGAACAACAAACAGUUUCAGCUAAAGAGGAUGCACAUCUACAAUAAAUUCCUUCAGUGGAAGAGAUUGAAAACCGACAUAGUUCAAACGUCAAAAAUGUAACUAUGCUACACUAGCAGCAAAUGUGACAUGAAGCAUUGCAUGUGAUGCCAAAGAGAUACAGGAAAAAAGUACAAUCAGUCUACAGAGGAUGUGAAAAGUCAAUGGCUGAAAGAUGACUUAGAACAAACUGUGAUAAGAUGUUUUCACUCUUAUUUCCAUGCAUCAUACAGCUGAAGAUAUAUUUAGUUGAUGUCAUAAUACAUGUGUUACUACCUUUCAUUUAUAUGCCACCAUUCUUUAUUGUGGGAUGUUUAUUUAUUGUUGUGCUGCUUGUUGUAUACUGGCUAACAUGAGUCAUUGUCACAAACUGCAUGCACAAUACACCUGAAAAUGCUUCAAGGGAAUGGUACACUUCCCACCUUGUACUUUUGUCUGCAAUGUACCUGACAUACAUUGCCUCCAGUUUUUCCCAAGGUGGCACAUCGCUAACACAACAACAAAGACAAUUUAAGUUCCUCUUUAAGUAUAUUUGAACAUGUCAAAUCUGUGAGGGGAGGAAAGUUUUUAAGUACUAUUGGGCAUUGUCUUGAAAACAGACCACAUGGUAAAUCUGCAAUACCUUUCCACUUUUAUGGAAACUCAUAAAACAUAAUACAAUAUAUAAUUUUUUGCAUGUGGCUUCUACUUCUUGAAGUAAUAUAUAGUCCUCCUUUGAAAGCUCACAGUGAGUUAUGUGCUACUCAUGCCAGUGUGGUGUAAUGGUUAGAAUGCUAGACUGGGACCUGGGAGACCAGGAUUCAAAUCCCCACUCAACCAGACAGCUCAUUGGGUGACUUUGGGCCACUCACUGUUAGUCAGCCUAACCUACCUCACAAGGCUGUUGUGAUGAUAAAAUUGGGAGGAGGAGAACCAUGUUUGUAUGCCCACCUUGAGCUGCUUGGAGGAAAGGUGGGAUAUAAAUGUAAUAAUUUUUACAAAAUUCAAACAUAGAUAAACCUUCAUUUUAACCACGCUAUAACAUACAGUCUAGACAGAGCUGUGUUAGAACACUAGAAAUAAGAUCAGCAAGAUUAUGUAUCAUUCUUUGAAGAGCAAACUCUGUGCUGUAUCAUAAACGGCUUUUGAAAUUACCCUUAAUUUUUUUUAAAAAAAUUGCCAUAUGUAAAGAAGGGAUGUAGAAGUAGUUGUGGCUCGUGGAUCUAUCAGAAGCGGCCACGAAACUUUCAGCCUUGAUUCUCCUUCCAAUCCCACCUGUUAACACACCGGAUACCUAGAAUCCAUUUUAUUUUUGUCUGCCAACAAUAGAAUUCCAUAAUAGUUGGCAGUUCCAGAGUUCAGAUAAAAGGCCACAGCUGCUCAACAAGCCAGAUCCUACAAUGGGGCAAUAGAAAGAAGCUGUAUGUAGAAAGGAGGAAAAGGAAAAUGGUCUCUGGCAGAUAUAGAUGAGUUGCUUCCAGCAGAGUCUUGGGAUCUUUAUUUGAAAAUGGAGAGUUUACAGUGACGCUUCUACCUAGGGUUGUCAGGUCUCCACGUUUUUGCCCGGAGACUCCGGUUGUUGGGAGUCCUCUCUGUGUUUCCAGGUGAGUCACCUUAAUCUCCGGCCUCUUAGCUUCUCUCAUGGAUGACAGAGGUCUCCAAGUGGGUACUGUAGCUCCACCUACAGCCCAGAGACAGGAAAUGCUUCAGCAAAUACUGUUGCUCCUCCCCCCUCUUGCUGAGGCUCAAUUCGUUUCCUGUCUCAGCUCAGAGGACAUCCUAUUCGUGAGAUUUCUCCUCUACUGUUAUUUCUGUCAGUUGUUUGUUUCAGUUCUUGCCUUAGUCAUUUAUAGUGUUGCUUGUCUUGUUCUUCUCUUACAUUUCUCUCGUUACUUAAGGGGGGGAAAUGUUAAGGUCAUAUUAUACCAUGGAGAAGUCUGUAAAGAGAAAGCAUUUUAAAAAGUCAGGCCGUGGCUCAGCGGUAGCUGGGACCAGUGCCCACUCGGCAAAGCUUUCUGCUGUUUCUCAACGCAAAGGCUAUUUAGCUUCUGAUGAUCCCGCCAAAGAGACCCCCCUCCCACUAUGUUGCAGCCAACUGUCAGUGCCCUCGUGAGUCAUAAGAACAUAAGAACAUAAGAAGAGCCUGCUGGAUCAGGCCAGUGGCCCAUCUAGUCCAGCAUCCUGUUCUCACAGUGGCCAACCAGGUGCCUGGGGGAAGCCCGCAAGCAGGACCCGAGUGCAAGAACACUCUCCCCUCCUGAGGCUUCCGGCAACUGGUUUUCAGAAGCAUGUUGCCUCUGACUAGGGUGGCAGAGCACAGCCAUCCGCGGAGGUGGCAUUAUUGCUAGAGUGGGUGAGUGCAACUGGACUGAGGCGAAUGGUGGCGGCCAGCAUCUCAGUAGCGCCGGCCAUUUUAGAUCAAUUGACGCCGGCAACACCCACCAUGUUGCAUGACACAGAACCUUUCCCGCCUGUUAGUUCUGGACACAGGAGUGGUAGCUGUCGCUGAGGUGUCCCUAAAUAGGGGAAUGGAAGCCCCUGCCCUAACUGGACAUAGGGAAGCGGUAGCUCCCUCCCAUUCUGUGGUAAAUUUGACCUCGAUAAAUGCUGAUCGGGGAGCGGUAGCCCCUGCCAUUGUACACACCAGUGAAGUGAGGUUGACAGGCAAUGGGGCGGUAGCCCUUGCCCUUGAAGUACAAAAAUCAAUACUCUUGUCCCAAAGGGGAGCAGUGGCCCCCACUACUAGGGCUUUGGGGGUGGGUAGUCGAGCUCACUCCCCAGAUCCUCCUCCAUGUCAUGCCAGCUUGAUCCCUUAAUUAUUUUCCUGGGUCACUUGUAGCAAACAGUUAAACUUUUUGUAUAUUUUCCCAUCUCGGUGACCUGGUGAUUUUACAGCCCAGCUGUAUCAGCUUGCAGCAAUUUGGCACCUCUCUAUCAGUAAGAGGGGCCUGGUUCCGCAAAGGCCGUAAAACUCCUUCGGCUUAUUAUGAGAAACCAAGAGGAACGGCGCCAGGUGCUGUGGGAACAUCAUUUCAUCAUUCCUUUGAUGAAAAUGUUAAUUAGGUGAUUGUCUUCGGCUGAGGCAGGAAUUUUCUCCAUAAGAGGAGGCCUCGGACUCUGGGCUGUGUUCCACUUGUGGGCACCACCUUGCUUAUGGUGAUGCUCUGCGGUGGCUCCAUUAUCCAACCUGACUGGCAGACCCUGAGGGGAAGAACGCUAACUUCAGAAAGAUCUGAAGCUUUGUAAGUAUAGCUGAGGCAGUUAGCUUUGUUAUUUUUAUUUUGUGCCCAGAACCUUUUGUAGACUGUUUUGUUAUAUACCUUGCCCCUUUGGGUGUAUGGUCCUAGGAUUUGAUUUGCUGCUCAAAAAUCAUUUGUAUGUACCUUUUUAUCUUUU